GAUGAACGCUGGCGGCGUGCCUAAUACAUGCAAGUCGAGCGAACAGAUGAGGAGCUUGCUCCUCCGACGUUAGCGGCGGACGGGUGAGUAACGCGUGGAUAACCUACCUAUAAGACUGGGAUAACUUCGGGAAACCGGAGCUAAUACCGGAUAAUAUAUUGAACCGCAUGGUUCAAUAGUGAAAGACGGUUUUGCUGUCACUUAUAGAUGGAUCCGCGCCGCAUUAGCUAGUUGGUAAGGUAACGGCUUACCAAGGCAACGAUGCGUAGCCGACCUGAGAGGGUGAUCGGCCACACUGGAACUGAGACACGGUCCAGACUCCUACGGGAGGCAGCAGUAGGGAAUCUUCCGCAAUGGGCGAAAGCCUGACGGAGCAACGCCGCGUGAGUGAUGAAGGUCUUCGGAUCGUAAAACUCUGUUAUUAGGGAAGAACAAAUGUGUAAGUAACUAUGCACGUCUUGACGGUACCUAAUCAGAAAGCCACGGCUAACUACGUG
rnacentral:rRNA from 1 species